rnacentral:misc_RNA from 1 species
UUUGGUUUGUUACGUGUGGUUGGCUGCGGCGCUUGCAACAACUUCCAUGCUUUCAGACCUCUUCAGUUGUGCGGCAAGGCUUGUAUCGCCUUGAGCGUAUCGUGGGUUUUCUGUGUUGGCUACCUAAUCAACGGUAUCGGUUGGAUUGAUCAAAGUUUGAUUUCGUCUUCCGUCGCAUUCGCGGCGUGAGGUGAACCUCGAUGCGGUCUCUUUGAUCCACCUCGUCGGAGCACAUGCUUUGACGUUGUGGCGCAUUGAGCAUUGCUUGGUCUCUUGUAUACGGAACAUAUAGUGGGCAUGGAUCUAACGAUUCUCGUUUGCCCUCAUAUUAGCGUAACGCUUCUCUUACACGACUUGCUCCACGUUUUAG